rnacentral:lncRNA from 1 species
GGAGGUACCUUGGCUCUGCUCCCAACCAACUGUAUGACUUGGGGCAAAUCACUUUGCCUCUGUGAAGCUUAGUCUUUUCAUCUUUCAUUGGGUUAAAAGCUUGCUCAGGUCCAUGCAAGUCAAAGUACCACAAAACCUACCAGCUCUUUCUGCUAAUCUCUACUUAGCCUGAAAGGGGGUAGCAGGCAAGUGGUAUCCUCCAGUUAGCACACAUAUUUGUCACCACUGCAGAAAAAGGCCCACUCUGAAGGGGUCCCCGAGAUAAAAGGAGGCAGCGUCCAGCUGCACUGAUUGCAGAUGCUGAGGGAUUGUGAAGCCCACAAGAGACCCAUUGACUGGGACAAGUUUCCUGUCCGUGCUCAUUUUCAGGAAAAAAUAUAAAAGAAUCUCAAUUUAUCUUCUCCUUUGUUAUUUUCUUUCUUGCCAAAGAAUUGAAAGGCAAGACCAAGGAGCAGUGUUUCCAGGGGCGAGUUGGGAGGCAAAAAGAAAGAAGUACCUCUCGCGGGUUCCAACUUGCAGCGAGCAUCGCGGUCUUCGCAGCAGUGCCUCAAGCAUGGAGGAGAAUCGGACAGAUGUGGAAUUCGAAAGUCGGGCCUUUGGUUUUGUGGCAGCAUCAUCUGACAGGUAAGGAAAAAACAUGUAUUGUCUUUACUAGAGGGUGGAGAAUGAGUACGGUCACUUAACUAAAGAUGAGAAUCAGCAAAAGUAAAACACCCGGGUGAUGUUGUCAGAGACAAGAGCUUGAAGAUGCUUUGAUAAGCCACCCCUUCCACUAUGAAGACAGGCAGCCAAGGGCCAUCAAGGUGCAAACUGGCCUCCAGUCACCAUGUAGCCCCAGGCAGAGCCCAGACCCUCUGGCUUCGUCCAGUGUCCCUUCCAAUAUCCCAUCCUGCCUCCUCCCACAGUAAAAUGAAAGCUAGCAAACAAACAUCCACC